rnacentral:rRNA from 1 species
GACGAACGCUGGCGGCGUGCCUAAUACAUGCAAGUCGAACGCAGUGGGGACGGGUGAGUAACACGUGGGUAACCUCCCAUCAGAGGGGAAAACACUUGGAAACAGGUGCUAAACCGAUACUGAUGGAUGGACCCGCGGUGCAUUAGCUAGUUGGUGAGGUAACGGCUCACCAAGGCCACGAAGCAUAGCCGACCUGUGAUGGUGGUGGGCCAGACUGGGACUGAGACACGGCCCAGACUCGUACGGGAGGCAGAAGUAGGGAAGCUUCGGCAAUGGACUAAAGUCUUACCGAGCAACGCCGCGUGAUUGAAGAAGUUUUUCGGAUCGUAAAACUCUGUUGUAAGAGAAGCGGUAUCUAACCAGAAAGCCACGGCUAACUACGUGCCAGCAGCCGCGGUAAUUC